AACGAACGCUGGCGGCAUGCCUAACACAUGCGAGUCGAACGAGACCUUCGGGUCUAGUGGCGCACGGGUGCGUAACGCGUGGGAACCUGCCCUUAGGUUCGGAAUAACUCCCCGAAAGGGGUGCUAAUACCGGAUAAUGUCUUCGGACCAAAGAUUUAUCGCCUUUGGAUGGGCCCGCGUUGGAUUAGCUAGUUGGUAGGGUAAAAGCCUACCAAGGCGACGAUCCAUAGCUGGUCUGAGAGGAUGAUCAGCCACACUGGGACUGAGACACGGCCCAGACGACGACGGGGGGAAGCAGUGGGUAAUAUUGGACGGGGGGCUGCGGCCUGAUGCAGCAAUGCGGGGUGAGUGAUGAAGGUCUGAGGGUUGUCACUCUUUUGUACCCAGGAUGAUGAGGACAGUACGGGGAGAAUGAGCGCGGGCUAACGCAGUGCGAGCAGGUGCGGUAAUAGACGAACAGCACUCGUCUGAUC
rnacentral:rRNA from 1 species